rnacentral:ncRNA from 1 species
ACAAAUUCUAUGAAGAGAAUAGUAAAUAUUAUCUUAGUAUCUUAAGCGAGUAGAGGAUGGUGGAAGCUCUAUGAGAAAAGUUUUAUUGAAGACAUCUCGGAGAAGCUUAUCUGAAAAUAAUAGUAAGAUAAGACGGAUUCCCACGUUAAAGGGAUUUAAGAUGGCUUAAGUUAUGUACUUAGUCAAAGUAGAAUGGUACCGUGAAGUAUAGCUUUCACUUCUAUA